CGAUGCAACGCGAAGAACCUUACCUGGUCUUGACAUCCCGGAGACCCUUAGGAAACUAGGGGUGCUUCCAUCUGGAAGAAUCUGGAGACAGGUGCUGCAUGGCUGUCGUCAGCUCGUGUCGUGAGAUGUUGGGUUAAGUCCCGCAACGAGCGCAACCCUUGCCUUUAGUUGCCAGCAGUUCGGCUGGGCACUCUAAAGGGACUGCCGGUGUUAAACCGGAGGAAGGUGGGGAUGACGUCAAGUCCUCAUGGCCUUUAUGACCAGGGCUACACACGUACUACAAUGGCCGAUACAAAGGGCAGCGACACUGCGAGGUGAAGCCAAUCCCGUAAAAUCGGUCUCAGUCCGGAUUGGAGUCUGCAACUCGACUCCAUGAAGUUGGAAUCGCUAGUAAUCGUGGAUCAGUAUGCCACGGUGAAUACGUUCCCGGGCCUU
rnacentral:rRNA from 1 species